AGUCGAACGAUACUCUUUAGCUUGCUAAAGAGGAAAGUGGCGCACGGGUGCGUAACGCGUAUGCAACCUACCUUAAUCAGGGGGAUAGCCCGAAGAAAUUCGGAUUAACACCGCAUAAAAUCACAGUACAGCAUUGUACAAUGAUCAAAUAUUUAUAGGAUUAAGAUGGGCAUGCGUGACAUUAGUUAGUUGGCGGGGUAACGGCCCACCAAGACCACGAUGUCUAGGGGAUCUGAGAGGAUGACCCCCCACACUGGUACUGAGACACGGACCAGACUCCUACGGGAGGCAGCAGUAAGGAAUAUUGGUCAAUGGAGGCAACUCUGAACCAGCCAUGCCGCGUGCAGGAAGACAGCCCUCUGGGUCGUAAACUGCUUUUAUUCGGGAAUAAACCUACUUACGUGUAAGUAGCUGAAUGUACCGAAGGAAUAAGGAUCGGCUAACUCCGUGCCAGCAGCCGCGGUAAUACGGAGGAUCCAAGCGUUAUCCGGAUUUAUUGGGUUUAAAGGGUGCGUAGGCGGCUUUUUAAGUCAGGGGUGAAAGACGGUGGCUCACCCAUCGCAGUGCCCUUGAUACUGAAGAGCUUGAAUGAACUAGAGGUAGGCGGAAUGUGACAAGUAGCGGUGAAAUGCAUAGAUAUGUCACAGAACACCGAUUGCGAAGGCAGCUUACUAUGGUUAAAUUGACGCUGAGGCACGAAAGCGUGGGGAUCAAACAGGAUUAGAUACCCUGGUAGUCCACGCCCUAAACGAUGAAAUACUCGCUGUUAGCGAUACACAGUUAGCGGCUAAGCGAAAGCGUUAAGUAUUCCACCUGGGGAGUACGGUCGCAAGAUUGAAACUCAAAGGAAUUGACGGGGGCCCGCACAAGCGGAGGAGCAUGUGGUUUAAUUCGAUGAUACGCGAGGAACCUUACCCGGGCUUGAAAGUUAGUGAAUCAUUUAGAGAUAGAUGAGUCCGCAAGGACACGAAACUAGGUGCUGCAUGGCUGUCGUCAGCUCGUGCCGUGAGGUGUUGGGUUAAGUCCCGCAACGAGCGCAACCCCUAUGUUUAGUUGCCAGCACGUUAAGGUGGGGACUCUAAACAGACUGCCUGUGCAAACAGAGAGGAAGGAGGGGACGACGUCAAGUCAUCAUGGCCCUUACGUCCGGGGCUACACACGUGCUACAAUGGAUGGUACAGAGGGCAGCAAGCUGGUAACAGCAAGCAAAUCUCCAAAAGCCAUUCACAGUUCGGAUAGAGGUCUGCAACUCGACCUCUUGAAGUUGGAUUCGCUAGUAAUCGUAUAUCAGCAAUGAUACGGUGAAUACGUUCCCGGGCCUUGUACACACCGCCCGUCAAGCCAUGGAAGUUGGGGGUACCUAAAGUAUGUAACCGCAAGGAGC
rnacentral:rRNA from 1 species